UCACACGGCCAGGCUGCACAGGGGAGCCUGGGUCACACCCGCUGCACAGAGGCCAGCGCCUGAGCGCCUGUUUCCAGCAGCACACAAGUGACAGCGUCAGGGCCCGGCAGGGAUCACAGCCCCUGCAACCGUGACCGGGGAGAGCCGAGGCCGGCAGGAAUGACUGAUCACGAGGCAGGAAAGCAAGCCCCGUGCUCCGGAGAGAAGCCAUCUGGCCACUGCUCGGCUCCAUCUCCAGGAAUCUGACCACGCCCGGAACCUCACAGAAGUGGAGUUCCUCAGCACCUGUCCUUCACAUAAUGUCCUUGGGCAUCUGCGGUGAAGCAAAGGGACCUGCUACGCUGCUCUCCACAGCAGCCGCUCGGCUCUGCUGUGCUCUCCAGAUCACCUCGCCGCGCCCCUCCUGCUGCAGCCCACCUGGGCUGGGGCGGACCGGGCAGCAGUCCGCACAGAGCUCAGAGGCGCCCUCGGUCAGCUCUGAAGGCCUGCGCUCCGCACACAGCUCCUGCCAAUGGCCGUGACCCACUGCGCUCAGCACGGCUGGCACCAGUCCCGCAAUAUAGGCUCCAGCCAAGGGACCACACAUGCGUCACAUGGCUGGGGCGGGGACAGAGCCCCGGGCCUGCCCAGUGUGGAGGUGGACGCUCCCCGAGGCCUCACUACGGUGGCCUGGUCAUCCUGGAGCGCUCUGCUUCCCCUCGCAGGACACCAGGACAGGACAGGACAGGACAGGAGGGAGUAAGGGACGCCCAGGAGGUCACCACCCUCGCUUGCCCUCUCCUGCUGUCCCAUCCCGGCACUGGUCAGUCCUGGCCAACGGAUCACGUGGAGAAGUGACAGGAAUCGCUGCUGAGGAAACCCCAGGCGUGAGCCCAAAUGCAGGGCGCUGACUUGUCACGGCGGCUCAGACAUGAAGACCGGGGAGGGGCACAUUUGUCAAAGACUCUGCACUCGGAACCGGAGCAAUCAGCAAGAGGGGGACCGGGGAGAGAAGAGCAGCCAGGGGCCGAAAACUCGGGCCCACAGGUCACAGCCCAGGAACCCACAGGGAGGUCCCGGGCCCAGUGUCAUGAUUAAGUCCGCCUAGGUGUGACUAUCUUUAAGUCACUUAUCCUUUGCUUUUACAUUUGUGAUAUGCCCUAGAUUCCAAGCUACUGUUCUUAAAAAAAGAAAAAGAAAAAAGAAUAGAUAUAGAUCAGAAGGCCCUGAGGAACAAAAGGAGGAACAGGGGCUUUGGGGUUCAGAGCAUAAUACUUUCCUAAAGAGGGGCUGGGGAUUUAGCUCAGCGACAUAAGCACCUGCCUUGCAAGCAGGCAGUCGUGAGUUCGAUUCCCGGUAUUGAUACACAGAGCCACAGAUUAAAAUGGAAAAGUAGAAGCCAGGCGUGAUGGCACAUGCCAGAAACCUCAGCCCUCGGGAGGCUGAGGCAGGAAGAUCACUGCAGUGUUCAAGGCCAGCCUGGGUUAGACAGGGAGUUCGUGGUUGGCCUGAACUACACAGUGAAACCCUGUCUCAAAACCCAAACAAACAAAAAACAAAAAGAAACAUCCUUUGUUGGUGCUGUUCUGCUCUGGCAGCCAGACUGCAGUCAGUUCUACUACAGAGGAUUGUCUGAAGAAAUGUCCACUUGUCUGAGGACACUCGAGCAAUCUGACCGCCGGGCAGGUAUCAGAUGGAUGUUUUGGUGCUGUGUUUGCUGCCAAGUGGACACAGCUGGGCUAUGUGUACCCUCUCUGCUGCUAAUGAGCUGCAGGAAGAGACACAGUGGCCUAGAGCACUGUGACGCUGGCCGCCGGGGUGAGGCACAGAGGUCCAGGGAACCUGCUCCCUGAGAACGGCCACAUGCCUCUCUUCAGGCAGAAACUCCAUCUCCACUUGUCCCGCUAACCUCUGGGGCAGAAACUCUCUGAGGAGAGGGGCUCUGGGUCACAGGAAAGGGGAGCACUGCCGGUAGAGUAAAUUAAAUACGUGCGGUGAAGGAGUGCCAGCCACCCCGACCGGAACACUGCGUUCUGCAAGGUCCCUCACAGCAGCAGGAGAUACGCGGGCGCCCCUCCAAUGCAGCCAGGAGGCUCACCGUCAGGUGCCCAGGUAAUGGUUCCGCUCAGUUCCUGUUACUUUCGUCUCCUAGAAACGGCUGUCUCCGUGAUGCGCACUGUGAGAACCGUCCCCGGCUGACGGCCACGCUGCCUCUGUCCUUCCUGCAUGCUUACCCCACGCAAGCCCCAAACCACCAGAGAUCAGGGCCUGAUGUCCUGGGAAUCAUCCCGAUCGGUGCCCGUCCACAUAAAUAAAUCCGCCUCCGAA